UUGAUUUCGACUUUUCGGCGCUUCACUUCGCUUUCGGGGGCUUGUUCGCUUUUGGAGCUCCACUGGCGCUGAGUGGAUGAUUUUAUGCUGUAUGCGCAGCGCACUUGAUGGCAAUUGUUGUCAUUGUUUUAGUCGUGUGUGGAAUCGGAUGUUCGGUGUCUCCCUCGCACAGCGGUAAAAUGUGUGCGAGUGUGUUCCGUUCCGUUCGCGUCGUUCAUUGAUUUCCUAAUUAAGUUUAUAAUUAAAAUUAAUUGAAAAAUUACUCAUGUAUGUACGUAUGUGCAUGUACGGACAUGUAAAUUGGAUGACCGCGUGUGAAAGCCUAUUAAAUAAGUUAUGUUAUGUGCUUACAAGUUCCCCUCGCAUAAACAUACAAACAUAUGAACCUACGUACAUAUGAAUAAUAAAUUGCUUUGAAUUCGAAAACGAAAUUGUGCCAAAAACAUCAGCAGCUAAAGAGAGUCUGCUGCGGCAAUUACAUUAUUUAUUCUAACAAAACGACUAUAAAAAUUCCUUGAAUAAAAAAAUUCCAUCGCAAGUUCAGAAAUCUCCUGGCUGCCAGUGUUGCCAACCGCCCGCACAGCCGUGGCCUUGGCGAGAUCGCUACCUGUUCACGUAUUUUACGACCCGAAAGAGUCGUAAAUGUGAAAGAACUGUAAAAACUGCAAUAAAACUUAACAUUUAUGCGCGUUCCAGGUGGUCCUGCCAAACGCCCAACGAUGUGGCAACCCUAGGCAAAUGAACUGUUUUACCUGCCCAAAACGCACAACAACAAUAACUAAAAAGAACAACUGCAGGAACGAAAGAGAGAGCGGGCAGCUCAACGGAUAAUUUAGUGGAAUUUUCAAAAAUAGCAAAGACAGCAACAACGGCGGCGGCCAUAAUCCCCCAGCGAGAGCACAAUAA